rnacentral:rRNA from 1 species
GACGAACGCUGGCGGCGUGCUUAACACAUGCAAGUCGAGCGGUAAGGCCCUUUCGGGGGUACACGAGCGGCGAACGGGUGAGUAACACGUGGGUGACCUGCCCUCAGCUCUGGGAUAAGCCUGGGAAACCGGGUCUAAUACUGGAUAUGACUCCAUGACGCAUGUUGUGGGGUGGAAAGCCUUGUGCGGCCGAGGAUGGGCCCGCGGCCUAUCAGCUUGUUGGUGGGGUGAUGGCCUACCAAGGCGACGACGGGUAGCCGGCCUGAGAGGGCGACCGGCCACACUGGGACUGAGACACGGCCCAGACUCCUACGGGAGGCAGCAGUGGGGAAUCUUGCGCAAUGGGCGAAAGCCUGACGCAGCGACGCCGCGUGGGGAAGAAGGCCUGGUGUAA